UACGUAGGGGGCUAGCGUUGUCCGGAAUCAUUGGGCGUAAAGCGCGCGUAGGCGGCCAGAUAAGUCCGGUGUGAAAGUCAAAGGCUCAACCUUUGAAUGCCGCUGGAAACUGUCUGGCUAGAGUCCGGGAGGGGCGAGUGGAAUUCCUGGUGUAGCGGUGAAAUGCGCAGAUAUCAGGAGGAACACCUAUUGCGAAGGCAGCUCGCUGGGACGUUACUGACGCUGAGACGCGAAAGCGUGGGGGAGCAAACAGG
rnacentral:rRNA from 1 species